AGAGGAGGUAUUCAACAAUCUUGGGAGAAUGGUGGCUCUGAGAGGCUCUUAGAGGCAGAAUAUUCAGCCAAUGAGGCUCAUCUCUAAGUGUGGCGUUAAUUUCAAGAAGUUCAAAAUUGAGCAAAACCAGC